ACCUGGGUGGCUCAGUGGGUUGAGCUUCCGACUUCAGCUCAGGUCAUGAUCUCAUGGUUCGUGGGUUCGACCCCGCGUCAGGUU
rnacentral:tRNA from 1 species